AGAGUGCUUUGUAGUUUCCUUCCAGGAGCACAGCAAGUCAGAUUCACGUACAGAUACGGCUGCACACACACAUACUCUCACAUCUGUACACCCCUCACACGCACGCCUUUCGAUGCUCUCUCGACUGAAGAGAUUUGAUGGAAAAGAUAAGGUCAUUGGUCAUUGUCUGUCCCUGACAAACAAACAAGUGUUUUCCAUGCGUUCAAAAGGAUCUCAUAUAAAGCAUACCCUUCUCUACUUACCAGUCAAUGACACGGAGAUCAGAGCGGAACAGUUAUGACUGACAUCUCCUCCUGUCUUUGAUGAUGAUGAAGGCUGUUUUUGUGAAUGCAUCUGAACAGUCGCAUCAGAAGUACUGAAAAUACACACAGCUUUACUUGGUAAUUACAGUGUUUCACUAAAAGGCUAAAAAUGUUUAUGUUUGCUUGUUUGGAAGGUUAAAUUUGUACCACAAUGAAUCGAGACACUUAAAGAAAGAUUAGAUUGGAUGCUUACACAUGGAGUCAAAUUCAAUUAUUUUGUGUAUUCAACAGGUGGCCAGAAGCUGUUGAAUAAUUCCUACAAAACAUUCAACUUUAAGAACUGAAGUGGUUAUUGGUUAAAUAUUAUUAUAUAUUAUGUAUGUCUCAUUUACUGUCAAGGGUGAGGAGUGGCAUUGGGUAAAUUUGGGUAGCACUAUGUUGUAAAACUGCUAUGUAUGUUUGCAAUGUCAAACAGGUAAAUCUAAUGUCAUGUGCUGAUGUAGACAAAAGUUGUAUCUGCUGCUGUACAUUAUUUAUUUUUGAAUAAAGUUUUCUAUUAUCA